GACGAACGCUGGCGACGUGCUCAACACAUGCAAGUCGAACGGAAAGGCCCUGCUUGCAGGGUACUCGAGUGGCGAACGGGUGAGUAACACGUGGGUGAUCUGCCCUGCACUUCGGGAUAAGCCUGGGAAACUGGGUCUAAUACCGGAUAGGAGCCAUUUUUAGUGUGAUGGUUGGAAAGUUUUUUCGGUGUAGGAUGAGCUCGCGGCCUAUCAGCUUGUUGGUGGGGUAAUGGCCUACCAAGGCGGCGACGGGUAGCCGGCCUGAGAGGGUGGACGGCCACAUUGGGACUGAGAUACGGCCCAGACUCCUACGGGAGGCAGCAGUGGGGAAUAUUGCACAAUGGGCGCAAGCCUGAUGCAGCGACGCCGCGUGGGGGAUGACGGCCUUCGGGUUGUAAACUCCUUUCGCUAGGGACGAAGCUUUUUGUGACGGUACCUAGAGAAGAAGCACCGGCUAACUACGUG
rnacentral:rRNA from 1 species